GGAUGAACCAUUUCAUAGCUGAACACUAACAACCCAAAUCUCUGUUCCACUAACCGCAACAAUUAGUCAUCCCACCUCAAAAGAUUGAUUCUUUUGACCGUAAAUCAGUAGUAAUAAGCAAAACCACAUGGAAUUACAGUUUGAUAGGCGAAAACUGAAUGUUCAUGUGAGCAAAUUUUCGACUUCCUGGAAUAGAGGAUCCCAAUCUA
rnacentral:misc_RNA from 1 species